GGACAGAUGGCCGAGCGGUUAAGGCGCUAGCUUCAGGUGCAACAGUACUUGCUAGUCACGAAAGUGGCGUGGGUUCGAGUCCCACUCUGUUCA